rnacentral:rRNA from 1 species
UACGAAGGGGGCUAGCGUUGUUCGGAAUUACUGGGCGUAAAGCGCGCGUAGGCGGUGAUCUUUGUCAGGGGUGAAAUCCCGGGGCUCAACCCCGGAAUUGCCUUUGAGACGGGAUCGCUAGAGUCCGAGAGAGGAUGGCGGAAUUCCUAGUGUAGAGGUGAAAUUCGUAGAUAUUGGGAAGAACACCGGUGGCGAAGGCGGCGACCUGGUCCUUUACUGACGCUGAGGCGCGAAAGCGUGGGGAGCAAACAGG